rnacentral:misc_RNA from 1 species
AAGUCGUAACAAGGUUUCCGUAGGUGAACCUGCGGAAGGAUCAUUAAUGGGAGGGGUUUUCGGACCCCGGGGACUCCGGUCCCCCCCCCUUACCCUAUGCCUACCUACCUUCGUUGCCUUGACGGGCCCGAGGAAUACCCUUCUUGCACCCCCGUCAGUGGCCCCUCCAACUUCGUCCAUCAGCGUCGUCCGAGUAGUACUAUAAUCGUAAAAACUUUCAACAACGGAUCUCUUGGUUCUG